UGCAAUCUAUGAUGUAAAAUAUUUAACGUUUAUGACAUCUUGUGAUUAUUAAGUUAAAAUCACCAUCUUUCGACUGAGAUUGCA
rnacentral:snoRNA from 3 species